GACGAACGCUGGCGGCGUGCUUAACACAUGCAAGUCGAACGGUGAAAGCGGAGCUUGCUCCGCUGGAUCAGUGGCGAACGGGUGAGUAACACGUGGGCAACCUGCCCCUCACUUCGGGAUAACUCCGGGAAACCGGGGCUAAUACCGGAUAUGACCUCCUUGGGCAUCCUUGGAGGUGGAAAGUUUUUCGGUGAGGGAUGGGCCCGCGGCCUAUCAGCUUGUUGGUGAGGUAGUGGCUCACCAAGGCGACGACGGGUAGCCGGCCUGAGAGGGCGACCGGCCACACUGGGACUGAGACACGGCCCAGACUCCUACGGGAGGCAGCAGUGGGGAAUAUUGCGCAAUGGGCGAAAGCCUGACGCAGCAACGCCGCGUGCGGGAUGACGGCCCUCGGGUUGUAAACCGCUUUCAGCAGGGAAGAAGCCGCAAGGUGACGGUACCUGCAGAAGAAGCACCGGCUAACUACGUGCCAGCAGCCGCGGUAA
rnacentral:rRNA from 1 species